GACGAACGCUGGCGGCGUGCUUAACACAUGCAAGUCGAACGCUGAAGCUCAGCUUUUGUUGGGUGGAUGAGUGGCGAACGGGUGAGUAACACGUGAGUAACCUGCCUCCUUCUUUGGGAUAACGCCCGGAAGCGGGUGCUAAUACUGGAUAUUCACUGGUCUUCGCAUGGGGGUUGGUGGAAAGGGUUUUUCUGGUGGGGGAUGGGCUCGCGGCCUAUCAGCUUGUUGGUGGGGUGAUGGCCUACCAAGGCUUUGACGGGUAGCCGGCCUGAGAGGGUGACCGGUCACAUUGGGACUGAGAUACGGCCCAGACUCCUACGGGAGGCAGCAGUGGGGAAUAUUGCACAAUGGGCGCAAGCCUGAUGCAGCGACGCCGCGUGAGGGAUGGAGGCCUUCGGGUUGUGAACCUCUUUCGCUCAUGGUCAAGCCGCAACAAUGGUCGUGGUGAGGGUAGUGGGUAAAGAAGCGCCGGCUAACUACGUG
rnacentral:rRNA from 1 species